AGAUAAUUAUUUCGAUUGUAUUUCAUUCUUUAAUUUAAAAAUUUCACAAAUUGAAAUUAUUCGUACGAUGAAGAGAUCGUGAUAAGAUAAUUUUUUCUUCGUUAUCAAAUAAGACGUUAACGGAUUUAAUCCUGUUAACAUCGAUCGGAAAUGGAAAGAAGUUGAUUCGCCUUGGUGAAUCGUAAAGGGAUCCCGAAGGAAGUGAGGCGAGGAAAAAUCGACGAUGAUUGUCGCUAUCCUCCCCUGAGGAACAUUUGUUAUUUGUAACGGCAAAACCAAGGGAUAUUGGAUCUAGUGCAAUCCUCUGUGUAAAAUCAAGGAGAUUGCCACAAUACCGUCCAGUUGCAAUUAGCUUCCAGUUUCAAUUAUCGUGCUCUAUUAAUUGGAAUUAUAUUAUACAUCGAAUCGAUAACAAUGGAAGUAUAGUUGCACGAGUUAGUUGCAAGGGUCAUAUUGUUCCCACAACACGUAACACAAAUUUACAUUGAAUGACAGGUGUAUUGCACCACGUCUGAGACCCACCGUGUUGAUCGGAUAAUAAAGUACUUGAUCUUAAUCAAACUUGUAACAAAGUUUCUUUUAUCUUAACUAUAUAUAGGCGAAAUGAUAUUAAUAAUUAAUAUUUCGCAUCAUCGUGUUUUAUCAAAUUUUAUAUUCUUAACAAUUGCAAAGGCAAAUAUGGAAUACUGGAAUAUCGAAAGUUAUUAUUGUCAUUAUUGCAUCACAAUUUUGAAUAUAAAUAAUCUCAAAAAACUUGCGUUCCUUUUUCUAUUUCAAUAUUGCGUAACAUUAUUCCGGUAUUCAUAUUUAUUAUGUCGCGAUAUUCGAUCAUCAUACGUGUUUCAAAAACGAUCCGUAGCAAAGAUUGAAGAAAAGUGACGGGUCGUUAGAAUUUCAUCUCAAUUAAAUUAAAGCAAAUCACAAUUUGCCUAAAAUUCUAUUCACUCCCUCUCUCUUCCGACCAGGGAGGAAACUACUUCGCCACAUUUCUCGACGCCUCCUUAAUCACGGACCGGCCUUUCGUCAACAGCAAGGUUCAAAUUGCGGCCAAGUUUCCCUGCUGGCGGUUCACCGCCGUUGAAAUUCCGUGUAAUUACGCCGGACGGAAAGUUUCCAUCGCGUGGCCGGGGCUCGUUGAUGGCCACGAAAGAGGGCCAUAUUCCUCGAGAAAUGACAUUUUCGAAUACGUCCACACCACGCGGUUGGCAAAUUAUACGACGAGAAUCGACGUAUCCUGUUUCGGGGAAGUUGCCUCCUCCAUUAUGGAGUGCGCGCCUCUUAACGUCAGGGACCACGACUUAAGGUCCUGGUUUAAGGGAUGAGGGUGCAGGGUGCAGGAGAAUCGUUUGCUGGCCAACCGCUUUGUAUGCGUUCUACAACUCGGCCUCUCGAAUGGGUGUUAUUAUGCAGCCAGUGAGAAUGAAGUCUCGGGCUUCGUUAUAAAAUAGACGUAUACUUCGCUUGUAUCUUUCGACUCUGAUGAUGAAGAGAAAGAAUGGAAACGUUUUAUUUUGAAGAUAAAAAAUUACAAUUAUUAUCAUAAAUCACUGUUGAAAGAAAAAAAGAAGAACGACUGCAAUUAAUUAAUUCAAUUUAUAUCGCCUAAAUCCAUCUUAUUAUGGGUAGUAUGCAAAGAAAAUUAAUCUUCGUUGAAAUAAAUAUUUUGAAAUCACGUUAAUAAGCUAUUAAUUUAAUUUUCGUAAAAAGAAAAAUUUAAAUGUCGAUCCAGGAUCGAAUUUGACACACUUUCGAAGUGAGGAGAUGCUAAAAGGGCUAAUUAGACCGUGGAAUUCAAUAUGUCAGGGCACGAAGAUACGCACGUUUAUCGAUUUCAAGGGGAGAGAGAAUUUUGUGUAUCGAGGGAGAGCGAAAGGCGAGAUUCUAAUUUAACUCGUGAUUGGAUAUAAUCGUUACGACUUACCGAUUCUGAUGACCGGCGGCAGCGACAUGGCAGUGGUGACCAGGAUGACAAUAAUGGCGAACAACAGUGCCAUUGUGCCCGAAGUGAA